AAACACAUUUAUGAUACUAUCAGUCUAUUUCCUGUAGGUCUUUUAUGCUAUUGACAACGUCAAAGUGCAAAUUUCCCAUGAUAAUCAAUAUAAAAAACCACAUUAACAGAAACAAAAUGUAGAAUUAUAUACGUUUUACCACAGAUGCUAGUUUGUAAAAAUUAAAUAAAAGAGGGACGAAAGAUACCACAGGGACAGUCAAACUCAUAUAUCGAAAUUAAUCUGUAGCAAGAUGUUACUCUCAUGAAAUAGUCC
rnacentral:lncRNA from 1 species